rnacentral:piRNA from 1 species
UAACCUCCAACCCUUUCAACACAAUCUCCUA